AUUGAACGCUGGCGGCAGGCCUAACACAUGCAAGUCGAGCGAGCGGCGGACGGGUGAGUAAUGUCUGGGAAACUGCCUGAUGGAGGGGGAUAACUACUGGAAACGGUAGCUAAUACCGCAUACCAUCAGAUGUGCCCAGAUGUGAUAAGCUAGUGGGUGGGGUAACGGCUCACCUCGGCGACGAUCCCUAGCUGGUCUGCGAGGAUGACCAGCAACACUGGAACUGGGACACGGUCCAGACUCCUACGGGAGGCAGCAGUGGGAAAUAUUGCACAAUGGGCGCAAGCCUAAUGAAGCCAUGCCGCGUGUGUGAAGAAGGCCUUCGGGUUGUAAAGCACUUUCAGCGGGGAGGCGUUACCCGCAGAAGAAGCACCGGCUAACUCCGUGCCAGCCGCCGCGGUAAUAC
rnacentral:rRNA from 1 species